rnacentral:pre_miRNA from 1 species
ACAACAACGUUCGGACCGUCGGUCUACCGAGCAAUAUUACCCGCUCGGUGGAAGAUCUUCCCUUUGUCGUAUACC